ensembl:lncRNA
CUCCAGAGUUCAUGUUAUGGUUAUCAGAAAGAAUCUAUGAAAAAUGAAGCUGCGCACAACUGCAGACCAUCAGCAUGGCUUAACCUUGUCAAGUGGGGAUGAAACAGGAAGUGCUUUGUGACACUGACUGGCAGAAAUACAAACUGAUGAAGAAAACACGCUGCAGGAAAGAGGAUCUGAGAUGGUCUCUGCUAAAGGCUAUGAUCUUGUCCGGCACGUCUCGGGAGGAGUUAAGCAGUCAUGGGAGUGAUGCUUCAAUUAUCAAGGACUCGGUUUAAAUCCUGAAACUUCUAGGUAAUUAAAUACUCUCUUGAACCCUUCCAGUUCUACUUACCAGUUUGACCUUACGAUCUUAGGCUAUGCCUGAACUUGGGUAACGUGGCUGGUGUAGUAGUAGUGCAGUCUAUUCCUGCGAGUGGGGCACCAUGCAGCACACAUCUCUAUUCCAGUAUGACUACCCAGUCCUUAGGGCUUCCACUUCAAUGUAUGAAAAUCCACAUAAAUCCUGAACUUCUAUUUAUUGCUCCACCUUGCAGCAGAUGGUAAGGGAGGGUUAAGCAGAUGGGUAAAAGGAGGGUUACUUUUCCUAAACACGGGAUAAGCUAAGAAUCAGGAAGGGAAGGAUCUUUCAUGGUAGUGCUGUGGAGCCAAGUUACUUAAAGAUGACAAUUGGGAACGGAAGGGGUUAUUUAAAACAGGAACUGGGAAAAAACUAACAGGUGCUGGG